AUUGAACGCUGGCGGCAUGCCUAACACAUGCAAGUCGAGCGAGCGGCGGACGGGUGAGUAGUGCCUGGGAAUCUCCAAGUCGAGGAGAAUAACAGGUGGCAACGACUGCUAAUACCUCAUACGAUUCUAUUGACGAGGUGGGAUUAGCUAGUUGGUGAGGUAAUGGCUCACCAAGGCAACGCACCCUAGCUGGUCUGAGAGGAUGAUCGGCCACACUGGAACUGAGACACGGUCCAGACUCCUACGGGAGGCAGCAGUGGGGAAUAUUGCGCAAUGGGCGAAAUCCUGAUGCAGCCAUGCCGCGUGUGUGAAGAAGGCCUUCGGGUUGUAAAGCUCUUUCAUCGAGGAGGCGGUACUCGCAGAAAAAGCACCGGCUAACUCCGUGCCAGCAGCCGCGGUAAUAC
rnacentral:rRNA from 1 species